rnacentral:lncRNA from 1 species
GGCAGCUGAAUGAUCAAGACCAGGGAUGGACGAAUGAGCAGCUUCUCAGAUCUCAACAGAACCGCCAACAGCAGGAGCCAAGUUCAGAACUCCGGCGGCUCAGAUCUACUCAGGUAACCACCAAACAGGGCUCCGAUGAACAGGAAAUCCCGGUGAUACCACCACCCACGCAGGGAAUCCCGUAUUAUUAAGGAAUCAACCACACAAGGAAUAGCAGAGCCUUUCUGUCCAUAAUAAUACGUUAUCCCAACAUGAGAGAGCAUCAGGGAUUUAAGGGGAGUAACAGCAACGGUAGGGAGGGGCGCCAUUAAAGGUGGUGAAGUAACCAAGGCAGGAGGGCGGUGGGAGAGUGGGAAAAACGAAGAGUCAGAGAGAGAGAGGAGAGGAUUAGGGUUAGUGGAGCGGCGCUGAGUGAAGUGAGAGUGAGAGAGAGGCGGGGUGGGGUAUAUCCAAAGAGAAAGUGGGCUAGGGUUUGGGAAUGGGCUGGGAUAAGUGGGUGGGCUUGGUUCUGGGCCCUGAAGUUGGUCCAGACCCAAAAAGAAAAAGAAAAUGCGUAAGGGAAUGAGAAAUGGGCCAACCUCACAUAUCCACCUUUGGCACAUUGAUCAUUCUGUCACCAGGAAGGGCUAGCCAUUGAGUUGGAGUUAUCAUCACAGCCCCAAUUUUUACUCUCAUCUGCCACAAAGUCAAGACAAGAGAGGGUGAGAAAAAUAUUAAGCAUAUUUAACUCAAUCUCAAACCACAGAGAUCAACCCAAGGGAAAUCACCAAUUCUCAAACCAAAAAAGGUUAUCAUUGAAGACUCAACAGACUCAGCAGAGCACACACACAACACACACAUUCAGGAAAGAAAAAGACACAGGACAAGACACAAGACAACAGAACAAAGCAGGGCUCACAACAUACCAGACACACAGAGCAAAAAGAAAAACAUGCAGAGCACACAAACACAGGACAGAGCAGAGCAACAGACUCAACACAUGCAGCAAACAAGAAGACAACAAAAGGAAAGAACAGAAACAAGCAGCCACAAAGGUUGAACUUGUCACACAAGCACAGAGAGAUCAUCCAGACCAAUGUUCAAGGUCCUUUUGCAAGAUUCCAGCUUUGCAACUGGUAGGCACUUAGUACCCAUAUCUGCAGGAUUGAACUCAGAGGGAAUUUUGUUCAGAAUGACAUCUCCCCUUUCUACAACAUCUCUGAUAAAAUGAUACUUGACAUCAAUGUGUUUAGUUCUAUCAUGGAAGACAGGAUUUUUGCAUAAUUGUUUAGCAGACUGACUAUCAGAGAAAAGCACAGGUUUAUCAUCAACAAAAUUAAUCUCAGAGAGCACACCAUUUAACCACAUUGCUUCUUUCACAGCUUCAGUAGCAGCUAUAUACUCAGAUUUAGUAGUAGAUAAGGCCACAAUGCCUUGUAACUGAGACUUCCAACUAAUGCAAGCAUCACACAAAGUAAACACAUAAGAAGUGGAGGACUUCCUACUAUCCCUGUCAUUAGCAUAAUUGGAAUCCACAUAACCACACAUUUCACACCAUUUUUAGACUUGGAGAAAAGCAGACCAUGUUUCAUAGUGGAUUUCNNNNNNNNNNNNNNNNNNNNNNNNNNNNNNNNNNNNNNNNNNNNNNNNNNNNNNNNNNNNNNNNNNNNNNNNNNNNNNNNNNNNNNNNNNNNAGUACAUAACAGAGCCUAUAGCAUUAGCAUAUGGGAUGUUUCUCAUUUAUUCAAGAUCAGUGUCAGAGGUGGGACAUUGCUUCUUACUAAGCUCAAAAUGGGAUCCAAGAGGUACACUGACAGGAUUACAAUCAAACAUGUUGAACUUAUGCAAGACUUGAUUCACAUACUCAGAUUGAUGCAGCAAAAGGGUGCAAUUCUCCCUAUCUCUUUCUAUGCUCAUGCCUAGGAUUUUCUUGGCAUCCCCUAAAUCUUUCAUGUCAAACAUAUCACAAAGGCAUUUUUGAACAUGCUGUAUAGUUUUUAAACAGGGACCAAGAAUAAGCAUAUCAUCAACAUACAAAAGCAAGAACACAGGAGACUUACCACCCAAGUGAUACAAGCAAUGAUCAAAACUGCUCCUAACAAAGUUCAAGCUUUUCAUGCAUUGAUCAAAUUUCAAGUUCCAUUGCCUAGGGGACUGUUUUAGACCAUAUAAAGUACUUUUUGAGAAGCCACACAUGAUCAGGAAAGUUCUUGUCAACAAAACCCUCAGGCUGCUUCAUAUAGAUAUCAUUUUCAAGUUCUCCAUGCAAGAAAGCAGUGGUGAUAUCCAUUUGUUUUAAUUCCCAGUUGAAAUGAGCACAGAGAGCAAGAAUGAUGCGCACAGUUGUAAAUUUCACAACAGGAGCAAAUAUUUCAUUGUAAUCAAUGCCUUCUUUUUGAGUGAAACCUUUAGCAACAAGUCUAGCCUUAUAUCUGACAUUUUCCACCUCAUUUUUAAUCUUAAACAACCAUUUGCAUUCAACAAUAGAACAGUCAGCAGGUUUAGGGACCAAAAUCCAUGUAUUGUUGUUAUGCAGAGAGUUCAUUUCAGAUUUCAUAGCAGUCGGCCACUUAGCAGAUUCAUCAGAGUUAACAGCCUCAGAAUAGGAGCAAGGUUCAACAUGAUCCACAUUAUUAAACACAUUAAAAGCAUACAUAGACAUGUUGUAAUCAUCAAACCUAGCAGGCUGCCUAACAUGCCUUCUCUAUCUAUCCCUUGAAAGUUGAUAAUCAUUCAAAUUAUUAUUCACAGGCACAUCAUUUUGAGCAGGUUCUUGCACAUCAUGUUCAUUUACAAUAGGUUCUGGAAUCAAUGGUUCAAGGGGAGGGGUAGGUUCAGGGUCUGGAUGGGGUUCCACCUCAAAAGGAAUCACAGGUGUAAACAUGAAUUCAUAUCUGGCAGAAUCAUAAGCAUUCAAGUUCUCCACCUCACUUGGAGUAGCAGAUUGUGAGGAUUUCAGCAAACAUGGGAAACUCAAUUCAUUGAAAGACACAUCUCUACUAAUGCAAGUUUUAAACCCGGGUACAGACUUAUCCCACAAAUCUUUUUGCACAAGCAUGGUGUGACACCUUUCUGACCACAGAGCUACACAAGUUUAACAAAAUAGUGGCCCUAGCACUAUAAUUCAUUUCAUGCUGCCUAGCAUCAGUGACUGACUCAUCAAUCUUAGUGGUUAUAGCCCUUUUUACCUUUUCUUUUACCAGAAUGCACUCAAUUUUGAUUUUCCAAUCCUGGAAAUCAUCCCUGCCAUUAAAUGGCACAACAUGCAUGUUGUUCAUGAUGAAUGCAGAUGAAACAAGCAGACCAACACAAAUUCAAGAGCACAGCAGGCAACAAAAAAACACAGAGUAGAGGGCAGGUCAAAAAGACCCUGUGGAAGCUACUUAGGGUUAAAGAGCAGUGGAGAGCCCAGAUCUCAGCACAGAUUGAUCUGUGGAGCAAGGGUCACACUGGUCACCCUAGAGGUCCUAGCUGACUUAUCUAAGUCAGCACAACUCACUAUCAACAAGAGUUAUCACAGAAAACAAACAGAACUUCACAGAUCAACAGAAACACACGAUUUGAACACACAAAUCACACAGCCAAUCUUGACAGACCCUUCCCUUAAAGCUAUUCAGGAUACUCGCACGAGGAGACUCCUUUAAAGGAGAAUCCAGACGAACUGGACCGUAGCAGUAAGGUCCGGACUUGGUUUGGAAUACCAAGGGUCAGCCGGAUUAAGCAAAGCGGAAGCACACAGAUCACAGGAACGCAAGAUACCAAAAAAAAAAAAGAGAAAAGCAGCACCUUGAACCAAACCUAGAUCUAGGAGCUAGGGUUUUAGCCAAUUUACCAGAGCCAAACUCUUCCAGGGGGAAGAGCUGGACUUACCCUACUCCUUGCUCGUCGGGAGCGAAUCGGCGCAGCCAAGGGGCGGCGGGGUGGGUAAGUUGUGUUCGGAGGGUGCCCUGGCUAGGUCACUGUGGCUCUGAUACCACUGUUGGGUAUCUACGCCUAGCCAGGGUUCACCACUUGGUUCCCGAACCUCCUGUCUUUCCCACUUUGUGCUCAAGCACUUGAGACUUCGUCUUCUUCUUCUUCUUCUGAUCUUCGACUUCUUUGCUCAACAUCUCUGCAACUCCUUUCUAUCUACAGAUCUUCAGAUCUUCACUUCCUCUUCUUCCUCGCUCGAGAGCCUCACUAUCUGCACCAGAUCCAUUUCUCUGCAACACACAAAGAAAGGCAGCAAGUAAAAGAGAAACAAGGGAAAGUCAGAGAAGGGGAAAAGGUGUCCUCGGGACACGGUGGGGCUCAGAUUUUCCCCAGAACUCGGCAACCCUUCCGGCAGCAAUUCGAUCAAGGCCAAAGUGACGGAUAUGGAGCAGCUUCUCAGAUCUCAGUAGAGCCACCAACAGCAGGAGCCAAGUACAGAACUCCGGUGACUCAGAUCUACUCAGGUAACCACCAAACAGGGCUCCGGUGGUCAGGAAAGCCCGGUGAUACCUCCACUCACACAGGGAAUCCCGUACUAUCAAAGAAACAACAACACUUGAAAGGAAUAGCAGAGCCUUUCUCACUUU